rnacentral:tRNA from 1 species
GGAGGCGAAUUGUUAUGAUUCCGAGUUAAUCGGAAUGGACACCUGCUAUUUAUCCUACCCUUCAAUAAUAUUUUAGGCCAGCUCAGUAAGGCUAAAUAUACUAACUGAGUAGAAGUUGCUGAACGGACAGUCCCGUAGCUCAGCUGGUUAGAGCGCUACACUGAUAAUGUAGAGGUCGGCAGUUCAAGUCUGCCCGGGACUACACCUGGGGGAUUAGCUCAGCUGGCUAGAGCGCCUGCCUUGCACGCAGGAGGUCAUCGGUUCGACUCCGAUAUCCUCCACAGGUAUGAAAAAUAGAAUUUGAUAAUCUGAAUCCAAUUUCGAUUUACUUUUAUAUUCUUGAUUCAUAUGUUGUAAAGUUGACCAAUACAUUGGCCUAAAAGAAUAAAUCUCAAAAUUGGUGAGUUUGCCCGUUGGCAUAAUGGUUCGAGUCCAUAUUUAUUCACAUUCCCUAAUCAUUACAGGGAAAAGUUCUUUGACAUCCUGAAAGAGAAUACCGAGUUAAAACUAUUAAGAUUUAUCGUUA